rnacentral:siRNA from 1 species
GAUAACAUUUUGUUGACCGGUGA